rnacentral:rRNA from 1 species
CCCUUAGAUGUUCUGGGCUGCACGCGCGCUACACUGAUGCGUUCAACGAGUGUACAUCCUGGCCCGGUAGGGUUGGGUAAUCUUUUGAAAACGCUUCGUGAUGGGGAUAGAUUAUUGCAAUUAUUAAUCUUCAACGAGGAAUUCCUAGUAAGCGCGAGUCAUCAGCUCGUGUUGAUUACGUCCCUGCCCUUUGUACACACCGCCCGUCACUCCUACCGAUUGAGUGAUCCGGUGAAUAAUUCGGACUGCAGCACUGCUUGGUCUCCAGGCUUUGCAGCGGAAAGUUUAGUGAACCUUAUCACUUAGAGGAAGGAGAAGUCGUAACA